UACGGGGGGUGCGAGCGUUGUCCGGAAUCACUGGGCGUAAAGGGCGCGUAGGUGGCGUCGUAAGUCUGUGGUGAAAGCCCGGAGCUCAACUCCGGGUCUGCCGCGGAUACUGCGAGGCUUGAGUGCUGUAGAGGGGGGGUAGAAUGCCGGGUGUAGCGGUGGAAUGCGUAGAGAUCCGGCAGAAGGCCGGUGGCGAAGGCGGCCCCCCUGGGCAGUAACUGACACUGGAGGCGCGACAGCGUGGGGAGCAAACAGG
rnacentral:rRNA from 1 species